rnacentral:rRNA from 1 species
GAUGAAUGCUGGCGGCGUGCCUAACACAUGCAAGUCGUGCGGUAACAGGAGUAGUUUACUACUUGCUGACGAGCGGCGGACGGCUGAGUAACGCGUGGGAACGUGCCCCAAAGUGAGGGAUAAGCUCCAGAAAUGGAGUCUAAUACCGCAUAUGAUCUUCGGAUUAAAGGAUUUAUCCGCUUUGGGAGCGGCCCGCGUUAGAUUAGGUAGUUGGUAGGGUAAUGGCCUACCAAGCCGACGAUCUAUAGCUGGUCUGAGAGGAUGAUCAGCCAGACUGGGACUGAGACACGGCCCAGACUCCUACGGGAGGCAGCAGUGAGGAAUCUUCCACAAUGGGCGAAAGCCUGAUGGAGCAACGCCGCGUGAAGGAUGAAGGCCCUCGGGUUGUAAACUUCUUUUAUAAGUGAAGAAUAUGACGGUAACUUAUGAAUAAGCACCGGCUAACUACGUGCCAGCCGCCGCUGUAAAAC